rnacentral:rRNA from 1 species
UACAGAGGGGGCAAGCGUUAUUCGGAAUUAUUGGGCGUAAAGGGCGCGUAGGCGGCUUUGCAAGUGACGGGUGAAAUCCCUCGGCUUAACCGAGGAACUGCCUGUCAAACUGCAUGGCUUGAGACCGGGAGAGGUGAGUGGAAUUCCCAGUGUAGCGGUGAAAUGCGUAGAGAUCAUGAGGAAGACCAGUGGCGAAGGCGGGUCUCUGGACAGUUCCUGACACUGAGGCACGAAGGCCAGGGGAGCAAACGGG